rnacentral:lncRNA from 1 species
UAUUCCCACAGCAAGUUCCAACCCCCCUCCAGGGUCUACACUGUGCCCCAUGGGACUUGACUCUGUGCCUCUCUCCUGCUGUUCUGUGGUGGGCAGGCCUCUGCAAGCCUACCAGCUAGGUUGCUGAGAGGCCAAGGAAAGAGGCUGACAAAUCCAGUUCUGGGAAGAAAUGUCUGCUAAGGACUUACAGACAAAACUGAUGGUGAGGGCCACCAAAUGGUGAAUACUUGGAUCUGCCCUCCAGAAAACACUUUUUUUGUUGUUGUUGAGAUGGAGUCUUGCUCUGUUGCCAGGCUGGAGCACAGUGGCACAGUCUCGGCUCACUGCAACCUCCACCUCCCGGGUUCAAGUGAUUCUUCUGCCUCAGCCUCCCAAGUAGUCCUAGCUACUCAGGAGGCUGAGGCAGGAGAAUUGCUUGAACCCAGGAGGCGGAGGUCACAGUGAGCUGAGAUUGCACUCUGGCCUGGGCAACAACGCAAGACUCUGUCCCCUAAAUAAAUAA